CUGUGAUGAAUGGUGGAAGGUGGGGGGAGAUCCCUACUCAUGUCUCUUCCACAAGAUCUCAAACAGCUGGCUGAUACACUAUCACACACAAGCACUGGCUGCUUAGGUUUGAGGAGCACAGAUUCUUCCAUGAGUGGUGUGAACCUAUGGCUCUGUAGCCAGGGGCUGUCAGGCUGGUUGUGUCAAUGUGGAGUUGCAAUUGCUGGGCACCAUGCUGAGACAUACAUCUUCGGGGGAAUGAAGUUAUUGUAUUUGCAUUUGCUAAUGUCUGCUGGCUCAUCCGGUGGGUCCAGCCUGUAUCAGGGUAAAAAUGAACCAGCGACAAAGGCACAAUUCACUUCAAACAUUGGAAAGAAGAACAAACGUGAUGUGUUUGCAAAGAGAAGAAGGAGAGGAAAUGAACCCCUACUCUUUCUGCUUGUUGUAUCAGGAGCAGCAUUGGUUCAAGGGCAAUUUUACCUGAGAUACCCAAAGUUCAGUGUAAAACCAUGAUGUGGUUAUGCAUCAAGCAGGGAGUCCCAAACCAAAACUGGGCCACCUUUUAGCAGGAUGAAUAAUGCUAUGCUCUCUUAGCUGAACUGCUCCUAUUGCUCCCAGGUGAAGUUGUUUAAGGCUUAACUCGAGAUUUCACAGCAGUGUAAACAUAUCACCAAAUACAGUUACUGCAAGAAUCAAUAUGAUUUAGUUCAUACAGAGGGCCAUAAUUUCUCUGUUUCUGGCUUGCAUGUUCAAAAGGAGGAGUGAUCCCUCUGAUGAAGGCAAAAUAUAUAGGAGACAGGAGCCUGCAGAUUGGGUGAUACACUCAUUUGCAAUUUCAGUUCUUCCUUUGUGGCAUCAGUUGGGAAUGGGCUGGAAAGUGAUCCUGGCAGCCCUGGUCACUGCAUUUUUAGAUAUGUCAGUGGAAUAAAAAUAUUGUUUCAGCACUUACA
rnacentral:lncRNA from 1 species